rnacentral:rRNA from 1 species
UGGGGAAUAUUGGACAAUGGGGGCAACCCUGAUCCAGCGAUGCCACGUGUGUGAAGAAGGCCUGCGGGUUGUAAAGCACUUUAGUUGGUGAGGAAAGGUAGUGGAUGAAUAAUCUAUUGCUAUGACGUUAGCCAAAGAAUAAGCACCGGCAAACUCUGUGCCAGCAGCCGCGGUAAUACAGAGGGUGCAAGCGUUAAUCGGACUUACUGGGCGUAAAGGGUGCGUAGGCGGGAGUUUAAGUUAGUUGUGAAAGUCCUGGGCUUAACCUGGGGACUGCAAUUAAGACUGGACAUCUAGAGUUGAGUAGAGGGGAGCGGAAUUUCCGGUGUAGCGGUGAAAUGCGUAGAUAUCGGAAGGAACACCUGUUGCGAAGGCGGCUCUCUGGACUCGAACUGACGCUGAGGCACGAAAGCGUGGGUAGCGAACAG